rnacentral:rRNA from 1 species
AUGGGUUCCAUGGCGCUCCUCCGUCCCUUGGCCUGCGUCCUCGUCCUCCUCUGCUCGUCGGUCGGGGCAGCGAAUGGGAUGUAUCGUAGAGCUGGCGGCGAUGAGGGGGAGGAAGCGGGCGGCAGGGUCACCGGCGGCGCCCGCGGCGGCGUCAGGAGCGCGUGGCCGGGGUACCUCUACACCAGAGCCGUCGGGCGGUGCACACCCCAGUUCUGGAGCAGCGGGGUUGAGCAAUGGCCCAACAUCGUCCCCCAGGAGGCGGCGGUGUCCAAGGUGUUCGGGUCCAGGUCCAUGGACAAGUACGGGCCGCGGCUCACCCUGCUGGAGGCCACCAUGAGGACGGACGAGGACGGCAGCCCCUUCGUGAAGCUGGUGAAGCACGGGAGCGCGGCGCUCAUCAACGCCUACACGCGGACGGGCUUCCCCUUCGACUCCUGGGAGGUGAAGGCGCUGCUGCUGGAGGCGCUCGUCUCCGAGGACGCCGCGGCCGCCCAGGCCGAGCGGUUCCAGCAGGCCAACGAGUCGUGUGUCUGA